GUACUUGCUUUGGCAGCACAUAUACUAAAACUGGAAUGAUACAGAGAAGAUUAGUAUAGCCACUGUGCAAGGGUGACACUCAGAUUCAUGAAGUGUUCCAUAUUUGG